AAAAGCUUCUAACUUUUUGUAAAGCAAUAAAUUGU
rnacentral:tRNA from 1 species